rnacentral:rRNA from 1 species
UGGGGGAUAUUGGACAAUGGGGGGAACCCUGAUCCAGCGACGCCGCGUGAGUGAAGAAGUAUCUCGGUAUGUAAAGCUCUAUCAGCAGGGAAGAAAGAAAUGACGGUACCUGAGUAAGAAGCCCCGGCUAACUACGUGCC